GGCGUCGAGCGGCGGACGGGUGAGUAAUGCCUGGGAAAUUGCCCUGAUGUGGGGGAUAACCAUUGGAAACGAUGGCUAAUACCGCAUAAUAGCUUCGGCUCAAAGAGGGGGACCUUCGGGCCUCUCGCGUCAGGAUAUGCCCAGGUGGGAUUAGCUAGUUGGUGAGGUAAUGGCUCACCAAGGCGACGAUCCCUAGCUGGUCUGAGAGGAUGAUCAGCCACACUGGAACUGAGACACGGUCCAGACUCCUACGGGAGGCAGCAGUGGGGAAUAUUGCACAAUGGGCGCAAGCCUGAUGCAGCCAUGCCGCGUGUAUGAAGAAGGCCUUCGGGUUGUAAAGUACUUUCAGCAGUGAGGAAGGUGGUAGUGUUAAUAGCACUAUCAUUUGACGUUAGCUGCAGAAGAAGCACCGGCUAACUCCGUGCCAGCAGCCGCGGUAAUACGGAGGGUGCGAGCGUUAAUCGGAAUUACUGGGCGUAAAGCGCAUGCAGGUGGUUUGUUAAGUCAGAUGUGAAAGCCCGGGGCUCAACCUCGGAAUUGCAUUUGAAACUGGCAGACUAGAGUACUGUAGAGGGGGGUAGAAUUUCAGGUGUAGCGGUGAAAUGCGUAGAGAUCUGAAGGAAUACCGGUGGCGAAGGCGGCCCCCUGGACAGAUACUGACACUCAGAUGCGAAAGCGUGGGGAGCAAACAGGAUUAGAUACCCUGGUAGUCCACGCCGUAAACGAUGUCUACUUGGAGGUUGUGGCCUUGAGCCGUGGCUUUCGGAGCUAACGCGUUAAGUAGACCGCCUGGGGAGUACGGUCGCAAGAUUAAAACUCAAAUGAAUUGACGGGGGCCCGCACAAGCGGUGGAGCAUGUGGUUUAAUUCGAUGCAACGCGAAGAACCUUACCUACUCUUGACAUCCUCAGAAGAGACUGGAGACAGUCUUGUGCCUUCGGGAACUGAGAGACAGGUGCUGCAUGGCUGUCGUCAGCUCGUGUUGUGAAAUGUUGGGUUAAGUCCCGCAACGAGCGCAACCCUUAUCCUUGUUUGCCAGCGAGUAAUGUCGGGAACUCCAGGGAGACUGCCGGUGAUAAACCGGAGGAAGGUGGGGACGACGUCAAGUCAUCAUGGCCCUUACGAGUAGGGCUACACACGUGCUACAAUGGCGCAUACAGAGGGCGGCCAACUUGCGAAAGUGAGCGAAUCCCAAAAAGUGCGUCGUAGUCCGGAUUGGAGUCUGCAACUCGACUCCAUGAAGUCGGAAUCGCUAGUAAUCGUAGAUCAGAAUGCUACGGUGAAUACGUUCCCGGGCCUUGUACACACCGCCCGUCACACCAUGGGAGUGGGCUGCAAAAGAAGUGGGUAGUUUAACCUUCGGGGG
rnacentral:rRNA from 1 species